rnacentral:rRNA from 1 species
GUACACAAAAAUGCACAUACUGUGAGCUCGAUGAGUAGGGCGGGACACGUGGUAUCCUGUCUGAAUAUGGGGGGACCAUCCUCCAAGGCUAAAUACUCCUGACUGACCGAUAGUGAACCAGUACCGUGAGGGAAAGGCGAAAAGAACCCCGGCGAGGGGAGUGAAAAAGAACCUGAAACCGUGUACGUACAAGCAGUGGGAGCACGCUUAGGCGUGUGACUGCGUACCUUUUGUAUAAUGGGUCAGCGACUUAUAUUCUGUAGCAAGGUUAACCGAAUAGGGGAGCCGAAGGGAAACCGAGUCUUAACUGGGCGUUAAGUUGCAGGGUAUAGACCCGAAACCCGGUGAUCUAGCCAUGGGCAGGUUGAAGGUUGGGUAACACUAACUGGAGGACCGAACCGACUAAUGUUGAAAAAUUAGCGGAUGACUUGUGGCUGGGGGUGAAAGGCCAAUCAAACCGGGAGAUAGCUGGUUCUCCCCGAAAGCUAUUUAGGUAGCGCCUCGUGAAUUCAUCUCCGGGGGUAGAGCACUGUUUCGGCAAGGGGGUCAUCCCGACUUACCAACCCGAUGCAAACUGCGAAUACCGGAGAAUGUUAUCACGGGAGACACACGGCGGGUGCUAACGUCCGUCGUGAAGAGGGAAACAACCCAGACCGCCAGCUAAGGUCCCAAAGUCAUGGUUAAGUGGGAAACGAUGUGGGAAGGCCCAGACAGCCAGGAUGUUGGCUUAGAAGCAGCCAUCAUUUAAAGAAAGCGUAAUAGCUCACUGGUCGAGUCGGCCUGCGCGGAAGAUGUAACGGGGCUAAACCAUGCACCGAAGCUGCGGCAGCGACGCUUAUGCGUUGUUGGGUAGGGGAGCGUUCUGUAAGCCUGCGAAGGUGUGCUGUGAGGCAUGCUGGAGGUAUCAGAAGUGCGAAUGCUGACAUAAGUAACGAUAAAGCGGGUGAAAAGCCCGCUCGCCGGAAGACCAAGGGUUCCUGUCCAACGUUAAUCGGGGCAGGGUGAGUCGACCCCUAAGGCGAGGCCGAAAGGCGUAGUCGAUGGGAAACAGGUUAAUAUUCCUGUACUUGGUGUUACUGCGAAGGGGGGACGGAGAAGGCUAUGUUGGCCGGGCGACGGUUGUCCCGGUUUAAGCGUGUAGGCUGGUUUUCCAGGCAAAUCCGGAAAAUCAAGGCUGAGGCGUGAUGACGAGGCACUACGGUGCUGAAGCAACAAAUGCCCUGCUUCCAGGAAAAGCCUCUAAGCAUCAGGUAACAUCAAAUCGUACCCCAAACCGACACAGGUGGUCAGGUAGAGAAUACCAAGGCGCUUGAGAGAACUCGGGUGAAGGAACUAGGCAAAAUGGUGCCGUAACUUCGGGAGAAGGCACGCUGAUAUGUAGGUGAAGUCCCUCGCGGAUGGAGCUGAAAUCAGUCGAAGAUACCAGCUGGCUGCAACUGUUUAUUAAAAACACAGCACUGUGCAAACACGAAAGUGGACGUAUACGGUGUGACGCCUGCCCGGUGCCGGAAGGUUAAUUGAUGGGGUCAGCGCAAGCGAAGCUCUUGAUCGAAGCCCCGGUAAACGGCGGCCGUAACUAUAACGGUCCUAAGGUAGCGAAAUUCCUUGUCGGGUAAGUUCCGACCUGCACGAAUGGCGUAAUGAUGGCCAGGCUGUCUCCACCCGAGACUCAGUGAAAUUGAACUCGCUGUGAAGAUGCAGUGUACCCGCGGCAAGACGGAAAGACCCCGUGAACCUUUACUAUAGCUUGACACUGAACAUUGAGCCUUGAUGUGUAGGAUAGGUGGGAGGCUUGGAAGUGUGGACGCCAGUCUGCAUGGAGCCGACCUUGAAAUACCACCCUUUAAUGUUUGAUGUUCUAACGUUGACCCGUAAUCCGGGUUGCGGACAGUGUCUGGUGGGUAGUUUGACUGGGGCGGUCUCCUCCUAAAGAGUAACGGAGGAGCACGAAGGUUGGCUAAUCCUGGUCGGACAUCAGGAGGUUAGUGCAAUGGCAUAAGCCAGCUUGACUGCGAGCGUGACGGCGCGAGCAGGUGCGAAAGCAGGUCAUAGUGAUCCGGUGGUUCUGAAUGGAAGGGCCAUCGCUCAACGGAUAAAAGGUACUCCGGGGAUAACAGGCUGAUACCGCCCAAGAGUUCAUAUCGACGGCGGUGUUUGGCACCUCGAUGUCGGCUCAUCACAUCCUGGGGCUGAAGUAGGUCCCAAGGGUAUGGCUGUUCGCCAUUUAAAGUGGUACGCGAGCUGGGUUUAGAACGUCGUGAGACAGUUCGGUCCCUAUCUGCCGUGGGCGCUGGAGAACUGAGGGGGGCUGCUCCUAGUACGAGAGGACCGGAGUGGACGCAUCACUGGUGUUCGGGUUGUCAUGCCAAUGGCACUGCCCGGUAGCUAAAUGCGGAAGAGAUAAGUGCUGAAAGCAUCUAAGCACGAAACUUGCCCCGAGAUGAGUUCUCCCUGACUCCUUGAGAGUCCUGAAGGAACGUUGAAGACGACGACGUUGAUAGGCCGGGUGUGUAAGCGCAGCGAUGCGUUGAGCUAACCGGUACUAAUGAACCGUGAGGCUUAACCUUACAACGCCGAAGGUGUUU